UUUAGUCUUUUAUAGAAGCCUUAGAUCAGAAUUUUGUGGAUACCAAGAAGAAAAGACUAGCUGUAUGUCGGGGGCAAAACGCUUGAAGAUGACGACAGUUCUUAAUGCUUCAAGUAACAGUCAAGUUGCCCCAGUUGGAAAAUUACAUACAACGGAUGACUCGAUGAUCAGCUAUAUGUCUGCAAAAAGAGG